GGUAACUUGCCCUGUUGUGCAAAGCCUUUGGGAGUGUGAAGGACACAAGGAUGUUUAAUACGGACAUGGACAUGCAGUCGGCACCGCGAAGGAAGGCUGAGUGCUCAGCAAGCUUUUGUGUCACCUCAGAUUCUGCCUCAGAGUCUGGACUGCCUUCAGCAUGUCUGAAUCCCUUCUACUCGAUUGUUAACGGCAGGGGCUGUGUCAGAGGCUGUCCUCUCAGGUUAUCCGGACUGCUAAGUGUCAGGUGUUGGACUCUGCGUGAUUCAGAAGCCAGAGCAUUGUGGUCAAGUUAUCUGGCCAGCACACACACACACAGACACACACACACCCCAUAUAUACACAAAUACCCACACCCAGAGCCAGCGUGUGAUGACUAACUUGUCAUGGUAAUUAUAACGCAAGUAGAAUUUAGAAAGUGGAUUAUUCCAGCUGGCUGUCACGACACAGUGGCAAGUCUCCCACUAACUGUGGCUCUUCUUCAUCCAGGGCACACAACCUGCACUGUAAUCGGCUGAUUAAGCCCUAACCAGUAGGCUGUGAGGGGAAGUUGUACGUGUUGCUGGGCUGAGGCUUCUAAGCAGUGUCGCCCUCUGGGUCUGCAGGCGGAACACAGAAGACUGGAGCCAGGGGCGCAUAGGAGAAGCUCGGGGGUUCUGAGACCUGGGUGGCCUGUGCACCAACCUCACUACCUUUUGGACUUCAAGGGUGCAAGCGCUGAUGAAAAUUCUAGACUGAAAUGAUACUGUAUGAAGUCUGGACCAACUGCCAUGUUCAAGUGGAAUGGAUUUCCUCUCUUUUCGCUGUCUGGAUCAAUUUUUGGAGGCGUUAGGGAGCUUGGGCUCUCGGUUGAAGAAACACAUUGUACUGAUAACAUGUGAAAGUACAGUCUGAUUGGACUUGCCAGGCUUUCCAACUUACCGCUAAUGUGAGCAUUAAGAGGGCUUUUGCAAAAUAAAUAGAGCUUGCUGAGGUUAGUUAAGAAAGGUUCCAGAUUCCAUUCAGCAAAAGUGGAAUGUUUAAUACUUUACUAUAAAAAAUAAAAUAAAAAUAAAAAACCUCCUUGGAA